rnacentral:rRNA from 1 species
CGGAGUGGACGAACCUCUGGUGUUCCGGUUGUCACGCCAGUGGCAUUGCCGGGUAGCUAUGUUCGGAAAAGAUAACCGCUGAAAGCAUCUAAGCGGGAAACUUGCCUCAAGAUGAGAUCUCACUGGGAACUUGAUUCCCCUGAAGGGCCGUCGAAGACUACGACGUUGAUAGGCUGGGUGUGUAAGCGUUGUGAGGCGUUGAGCUAACCAGUACUAAUUGCCCGUGAGGCUUGACCAU